GGAACCGUGGUGUAGGGGUAAUCGUAAUUGCCUCUCACCCAGUCGGCCUGGGUUCGAUCCCAGACGGUCCCG
rfam:Culex pipiens quinquefasciatus supercont3.813 genomic scaffold, whole genome shotgun sequence.